UACGAAGGGGGCUAGCGUUGUUCGGAAUUACUGGGCGUAAAGCGUAUGCAGGCGGAUCGUUAAGUCAUACGUGAAAUCCCUCGGCUUAACCGGGGAACUGCGUCUGAUACUGGAUGGCUUGAGUUCGGGAGAGGGAUGCGGAAUUCCAGGUGUAGCGGUGAAAUGCGUAGAUAUCUGGAGGAACACCGGUGGCGAAGGCGGCAUCCUGGACCGAUACUGACGCUGAGGAGCGAAAGCCAGGGGAGCAAACGGG
rnacentral:rRNA from 1 species